GAGUUUGAUCAUGGCUCAGGAUGAACGCUGGCGGCGUGCCUAAUACAUGCAAGUCGAGCGGAAACACUUCGGGUGUCGAGCGGCGGACGGCUGAGUAACACGUAGGAACGUACCCCAAACUGAGGGAUAAGCAUCGGAAACGGUGUCUAAUACCGCAUGUGCUCUAAGGAGUAAAGCUUCGGCGGUUUGGGAACGGCCUGCGCAUGAUUAGCUUGUUGGUGAGGUAAUGGCUCACCAAGGCUUCGAUCAUUAGCUGGUCUGAGAGGAUGACCAGCCAGACUGGGACUGAGAACGGCCCAGACUCCUACGGGAGGCAGCAGUAGGGAAUUUUCCACAAUGGGCGAAAGCCUGAUGGAGCAACGCCGCGUGCAGGAUGAAUGCCUUCGGUUGUAAACUGCUUUUAUAUGUGAAGAUUUUGACGGUAACAUAUGAAUAAGGAUCGGCUAACUCCGUGCCAGCAGCCGCGGUAAG
rnacentral:rRNA from 1 species